ensembl:lncRNA
GCAAAACUUUGAAGCUGCUUCUCCAGCUGAAAAUGGAUGUGAGCAUUGCCGUGACGCUGAUUCGGGGCCAGAUGGGUGCCGUGGUGGAGCGGGCGGUGAACGGGGCGGUGGAGACCGUGCUGGCCGAGAUGCUCAAAGUGGUUGGAGUCAAGUUUGAGGAGCUGAAAUGCCAGGUGGCGCUGAUGAAGAGGGACGUCGCGACGUUGGAGAGGGAGAAGGUCCUGAAGGAGAAGGAGAACGACAACGUUCGAGCCAAGCUGCGCUACACCGAGCUGAAGCUGAAGUACUACAGGCAAGGAGUGGAGGAGGAGCUGCAGCAGAGGGCCUCCGGUGCUCUCCAAGCACACAGAGACGCCGAAGGUGUUUCCUCCACCGAGGCCUCCCAGUCAUGCUUCACUCACACCAGGACUUCAAGCGGUCACGCUUUGUUCUGUCCCGCAGAGCGAGACACGGCUCAGAGCAACGAGCAGGAGAGCGACAGUAAGUGGUCCUUCCAUCUGCCGCCACACGCCGAAGGCAGCGACGCGGCGGCGACCCCUCCGGUCCGACCCGUCUCCCAGGAUCCGGGGCAGCAGUCGGCCAACGGCUCUCCGUCCCACGAUGGCUCCGCACAGGCCGAUAGCUCCACUCUGCCCUCCUCUGCUCCACAGGUGAAGCAGGAGGCCCCGGAGCUGCUACCGGAGGAAGAGGAGGUGAUCUGCAUCAAGGAGGAGCCAAAGGAAGAUCAGGAAGUGACGGCCUCCCUUCUGCUGGACUGCCACGUGCAGCAGGGUCCUUUUCCAGUGUCAGAGGCUCAGCGGUCAGCGACGGAGUGUUUGGGACCUCCAGUGAGCCAGAGAAGUGACACCGCAGCCUUCGGCUCAUCCGGACCCAACCCCCAUCUGAUGCCUCAGCCGGUGGCCUCCCUGCUGCAGCCGAUGGUGGCUCUGCCAUGCGGCGUCCUGCCACGCCAGGCGCCGCGGCCCUGGCCUAAAGAUCUCAGUCUUUAUGAAGAAUACAAACUGCGCCGCAAUGAGCUCCGCAGGCGAAGCAUCAACAGACGCAGAGAGCUGGAGAAGACGCUGCCUCAGCCACUACUGGCUGACCUGGUGCGAGAGCGUCGUGAGAAGACCAGACUGCGGGUGGCCAGAUGGAGGGCGAAGAGGAAACUCCAGGACUGCAUCAAGCAGGACCACUCUCUAGGUGGCGCUGCAGGUCUUUCUCCAGCGGGCUUUGCUCUCGGCAGCCAGCAUCAGCAGCCCAGAGGGACCUGCGCCUCCGGCAGCCAGCAGAGACUCUCCUCAGCUCCGCCUCCGUCCGACGGCUUCCUCUCAGACCCUCUGCCCUUCAUCCCCACCUCCUCCUCCUCCUCCUCCUCGUUUCUCUAUCUGGGAGGCCACAACAUGGCUCCGCACCAGCACACUGUGACAUCGUCAGCCUGUUGCAGCAGAUCGCCUCGUUGA